rnacentral:rRNA from 1 species
AUGGCUCCCCUCUUCGCCUCCUGCCACGCUUCCCACGCGUCCCUCCUACUCCUCUCCCCCAGCCCCGCCGCCGCCGCGCGUCUCCGCGUCGGUGGCCUCCGAGUCAGGCGGCCGCGCCGCCUCCGCCUCCCCGUACGCACCGCCGCAGGAGGCAGCCCACUCGACGCCGAGAUCCCCGACCCUACAGUCGACGACGACGAGUGGGGCCGCGAGCCGCCCGCUUCCGCGCCGGGUAACUCGCGCCCUGGCGUCACCGAUGAGUGGGGCGAGCCGGGGGUGGCCGAGCCUGAGCAGCCCUCCGGCGCCGACACCCCUACCAACGACGACGAGUGGGGCGGGGAGCCCACGCCGACGCCGCCCAAGGCGAAGGAGGCUCCGGUUACGAAGGAGGACGAGGGGAGGGAGGAGCUGAAGCGGUGCUUGGUGGACACGGUUUACGGCUCCGGCCUGGGCCUCAAGGCGUCCUCGGAGGUCAGGGGGGAGGUCGUGGAGCUCGUGGCCCAGCUCGAGGCUGCCAAUCCCACGUCCGCGCCCGUCCAGGCGCCAGAGCUCGACGGAAACUGGAUACUCCUGUAUACAGCAUAUUCUGAGCUUCUACCGAUUCUGCUUGCCGGGGCAACACCAUUCACCAGAGUUGAUAAGAUAUCCCAAGAAAUUGACUCGAGAAUCAUGACGAUAAUUAAUGCUUCAACUAUUUCGACUCCAUUUGCUUCGUUUUCAUUCAGCGCAACUGCUUCUUUUGAAGUCCAAACUCCAUCAAGGAUAGAGGUCCAAUUCAAAGAGGGGAGCUUCCAGCCUCCUGAGAUAUCAUCAUCGGUAAAUCUACCUGAACAGAUCGCCAUAUUCGGGCAGAAGUUCAGCCUGGGGACUGUUAAGGAGCUGCUGGAGCCUUUGCAGCGAGCAUUUGCUAGCAUUGCAGGGUCCAUCUCUGGGCAGCCACCCCUCAAGGUACCGAUUCCUGGGGACAACAAGGCCAAGUCGUGGCUUUUGACAACCUACCUGGACAAAGACUUGAGGAUUUCAAAAGGCGAUGGAGGCGGCGUGUUUAUUCUUGCCAAAGAGGGGAGCCCUUUACUAGAUUAA